UAGAGUUUAGGAGAGGAAAGUAGAAUUCUGGUGUAGCGGUGACAUGCGUAGAUAUCAGAAGGAACACCAAAUGCGAAGGCAACUUUCUAGAUUAAGACUGACACUGAGGCACGAAAGCGUGGGUAGCAAACAGGAUUAGAUACCCUGGUAGUCCACGCUGUAAACGAUGAGUACUAGGUGUUGGGGGAAUCGACCCCUUCGGUACCGUAGCUAACGCGAUAAGUACUCCGCCUGGGGACUACGACCGCAAGGUUGAAACUCAAAGGAAUUGACGGGGACCCGCACAAGCGGUGGAACAUGUGGUUUAAUUCGAUGCAACGCGAAGAACCUUACCUGGGCUUGACAUGUACAGUGAAAGCUUUGUGAAGGCAGAGCUCUCUGCGAGCUUGCUCAAGGACACUGUCACAGGUGGUGCAUGGCUGUCGUCAGCUCGUGUCGUAAGAUGUUGGGUUAAGUCCCGCAACGAGCGCAACCCUUGUCCUUAGUUGCCAGCACAUAAUGGUGGGGACUCUAAGGAGACUGCCUGGGAUAACCAGGAGGAAGGUGGGGAUGAUGUCAAGUCAGUAUGUCCCUUAUGCUCAGGGCUACACACGUGUUACAAUGGCCGGUACAAAGGGUCGCCAACCCGCGAGGGGGAGCUAAUCCCAAAAAACCGGUCUCAGUUCAGAUUGGAGUCUGCAACUCGACUCCAUGAAGGAGG
rnacentral:rRNA from 1 species